GCAAGUCGAACGACAUAGUGGCAGACGGGUGAGUAACGCGUGGGAACGUUCCUUUCACUACGGAAUAGCUCUUGGAAACGAGUGGUAAUACCGUAUACGCCCUCCGGGGGAAAGAUUUAUCGGUGAAAGAUCGGCCCGCGUUAGAUUAGCUUGUUGGUGAGGUAAUGGCUCACAAAGGCGACGAUCUAGAGCUGGUCUGAGAGGAUGAGC
rnacentral:rRNA from 1 species